rnacentral:lncRNA from 1 species
CGGGCUUUGCUGCGGAAAAGAUGUGGUAUCGCGGCACAAAAAAGAGGGAGAGAGUCGCCGCGAAGCGACCGUACCAACAAGAGGGAACGGGAGGGAACUCUCAACAGAGAGACUGCGCAGCACAGAGCGAGUUCGUGGACGUUUCACGGCAAGGAAGUUGCGGGAGUGUUCUGGAGCUGUUGAACGCACAUCUGGUUCCUCUGCCUCUUGACACACACCGGAAAAAUCAAAACCACAAGCCAGGGAUCGCCAGACAAAAACCUGGCUACGUCCUCGUCUGUGGAAACGCGCGAAGCCACUGCUGACAUAGCAAACCUUCCAGGCGCUCCUCUCGACAGCGAGCGGUCCAUGUUUGUUGCCUCCCCUCUUUCUCCUGUCCGCCGGAACGCCGAUGUCUCUAGGCUUGCACUCUUUUGAGAAACCGGAAAAAGCACUCCAGGCAGAGAUGAUUGUGUGUCCGUGCGGAUUCUCCUCGCCGUCAAUCGCGAGUGAGCUCCAGGAAUGUGCGCGUUUGUUUGAUCUGAGAAAUGGACGGGUUGGGGUGGAUCACGUACGCAUAGAAGGACGGCUGGGAGGCAAGGAGACUGGUUUCGCUCGAGAGCACCCGGUCGCCUCGCAUUUUUGAGGGGGAGGGAGGGGGUGCUCCGCCAUGGCCUGAGAGCAUCGCUGCGGGACACUAGCUCAAUUCGAAAUAUCGCCGUCUGCUUUCCCCUUGCAGAGUGGGACCUACGGCGGGGCGGCUUUCCCCUUUCCAGUGAGUCGGGGCAACGGCUAUACUGCCCCGACACUCGUCGCUUCCCUGUGUGCUCCUCCUGGCCUACUCCGCCGCGCGUGUGUUCAAAAUAAGCGGGAAAGGGUGCUCUCUCCCGUCGGCAAAUGCAUCGUGUUUCCGAUAGCCAUCGCACCAUUUUCACUUCAGUUCCAGUUAGUCGGCUCGGUUUCUCUCGACAGCAGCGCCGCACCGCAGGAGAAAUAUCUCUCCCUCUGCGCCUGCUACAUGGCGCCUGGAAUGGGGCGCGUUUUUGACAGGAGUGGCGCACGAAUAAGAGAGGGAGACGUGGACGGGAGACGAAGAAACUCGACCUUUUUGUGUCUCAGCUCAGAGCGACGACCGUUACCUUCCAGUGGGAUGACCUCUUCCUGAGUAGUAAAAACGUGGCAUUCGGCGUUGGAGGCUUUUGGCGGUCUAGCAUGGCUAAUAAUCCUCGAAAAACCGUAAAAGCACCCGCUUCUGUCAGCCUCGUCCACGUAACUCAGUUCUAGAAAGCCUAGAAACCUCGCAUUCCGAUGACUGGAAACACUCGUGCGAGACUGGAAAACACCUUGCUUGGAAACGAUACAGAAUCUUGCAGAGCGGGAAGAGACGUCACCCCUCUUUUGAAGCGAGGGUAAGUCACAGUGGCGUUGGAGUGAAGGCGCUCGCCGCGAGGGGGACUCGAGCAGUGUUGGGAGUUCUCGCUUUUCGAGAAAGAAAAGGACAGUCGAA